rnacentral:rRNA from 1 species
GAUGAACGCUGGCGGCGUGCUUAACACAUGCAAGUCGAACGGAAAUGCCGUAGCUUUCUUCGUUACUCGAGUGGCGAACGGGUGAGUAACACGUGGGUAAUCUGCCCUGUACUUCGGGAUAGGCUUGUGUAACUGGGGCUAGUACCUGAUAUGACAAUGUCUUGGAUGGGUGUUUGGAGAUCUUUUGCUGUUUGUGAUAAGGUCGCGGCCUAUCAGCUUGUUGGUGGGGUAAUGGCCUACCAAGGCGUCGACGGGUAGCCGGCCUGAGAGGGUGUACGGACACACUGGGCCUGAGAUACAGGCCAGAGUCGGAAGGGAGGCAGAAGUGGCGAAUAUCGCACAAUGCGAGCCAGCGUGAUGGAGCGAGGACGCGUGGGGGAUGACGGCUUUCGUGUUGUAAAAACCUUUCGCAAUUGACGAAGCAUUUUGGUGACGGUAGGUUGAGAAGAAGCAACGGCUAACUACGUG